UACGUAGGGUGCAAGCGUUAAUCGGAAUUACUGGGCGUAAAGGGUGCGCAGGCGGUAUUGUAAGCCAGAUGUGAAAUCCCCGGGCUCAACCUGGGAACUGCGUUUGGAACUGCAAUGCUAGAGUGUGUCAGAGGGGGGUGGAAUUCCACGUGUAGCAGUGAAAUGCGUAGAGAUGUGGAGGAACACCGAUGGCGAAGGCAGCCCCCUGGGAUAAUACUGACGCUCAUGCACGAAAGCGUGGGUAGCAAACAGG
rnacentral:rRNA from 1 species